rnacentral:rRNA from 1 species
GACGAACGCUGGCGGCGUGCCUAAUACAUGCAAGUCGAGCGGACGUUUUAUUGGUGCUUGCACCGAUAAAACGUUAGCGGCGGACGGGUGAGUAACACGUGGGCAACCUGCCCUGUAGAUUGGGAUAACUCCGGGAAACCGGGGCUAAUACCGAAUAAUACUUUUUAACUCAUGUUAGAAAGUUGAAAGAUGGUUUACGCUAUCACUACAGGAUGGGCCCGCGGCGCAUUAGCUAGUUGGUGAGGUAACGGCUCACCAAGGCGACGAUGCGUAGCCGACCUGAGAGGGUGAUCGGCCACACUGGGACUGAGACACGGCCCAG